rnacentral:rRNA from 1 species
GCAAGUCGAACGAAUCCCAGCUUUGUAGCAAUACCGAGCUGGGGGAAGUGGCGAAAGGGGCAGUAAUGCGUGGGUAACCUACCCCGGGGACGUGGAUAGCCUUCCUAACGGAAGGGUAAUACACGGCGAUCUGGCUGAAAGGCAUCUUCCGGCCAGGAAACGAACCUCGCCUCGGGAGGGGCUCACGUCGUAUUAGCUUGUUGGCGGGGUAACGGCCCACCAAGGCAAAGAUGCGUAGCGGGUGUGAGAGCACGACCCGCGCCACUGGCACUGAGACACUGGCCAGACUCCUACGGGAGGCUGCAGUCGAGGAUCUUCGGCAAUGGGCGCAAGCCUGACCGAGCGACGCCGCGUGUGCGAUGAAGGCCUUCGGGUUGUAAAGCACUGUCGAGGGGGAGUAAGCCGAAAGGUUGAACUAUCCCUGGAGGAAGCACGGGCUAAGUUCGUGCCAGCAGCCGCGGUAAGACGAACCGUGCGAACGUUGUUCGGAAUCACUGGGCUUAAAGGGCGCGUAGGCGGGUGCGCAAGUCUGUGGUGAAAGCCCCCAGCUUAACUGGGGAAGUGCCGUGGAUACUGCACAUCUUGAGGAGGGUAGGGGCAUCUGGAACGGUCGGUGGAGCGGUGAAAUGC